rfam:Glycine soja cultivar W05 scaffold192_14, whole genome shotgun sequence.
UUCUUAUUGGAUGAUGACUGCCACGUGUCAUGUUCUGAUUGGAUGUUAACUCCAUGAAAGACGAAAUGCAUUGUUGUUUUCAUUGACCAAUCAGAACAUGAUACGUGACAGUCAUCAUCC